UGGGAUCCAGACACGGUGAGA
rnacentral:misc_RNA from 1 species